rnacentral:snRNA from 1 species
AGUAAAAGACUCCAGUGCAUUUACCCGAGAAAAUCUUUUGUCUUUUACUAAAGAUUUCCGUCCAAUGGAGCAAUGAGUAUUUACACAUUUUUGCAUCUCCUCGAAAGAGCGGG